UAGAAAAUUGUCGGGCCAUCAACCAUGAAGUUUUUUCUGAUCCCUAUGUUGGUAAUAUUAUUUUUGGAGUGCAUCCUGAGUGUACCUUCGGAAGUACUCAAAGUUAUGCCGUAUCCUUAUCUGGACAACGUGACACAUCCCAAUUCUUUGUUAACAGCUUCAGGAAUACGUGAAUUUUACUAUCGUCAGUAAUUUUGACGGAGUACACGCAGUACGAACCAUGAACCACUCAACACAAAAUCGACUCCUUAGAUAUUAAGCUUAAUCUAUAGCUUUAAAUGUAAUUAAAUUAUAUUUAAAUUUUAAUUAACUCAUAUACAACUACAAAAUACAGAAAUAAUUAUACAGAAGUAGUAUUUUAAAUAUACCAUGAUGGAAUGUGUUUCAACUGUAUUCUGGAUUUUUGUCUGUUCGUUUGUAUGCACGUUUAUAGGUCUGUGUGUGUGUUUGUAUCGGCACCAUUUUAAAAAUAGUAGUGAAUAGAUAAUCUUUAAUUAGAAACCAUGUAAAUUACUUAACUAAUCAUCACUUUAAUGUUUAUUGAUAAAAUAAUUAUUUAUGUAUUUGAUUUUAGGUAACGUUAAAAGUUGUAGCAGGUCGUACGAUUCUUGAUUAAUUAAUUAAAUAAUAAUUUAUUUCAUAAAUUCGAUUGUACUGUCUGAAAAAUGCUCAUUGGUUACACAGUAGUAAUAACUCUAAUAACAAAGCAAUUAUGACGUCACUCCUGUUAUUAAUUCAUGUUUCUUUUUCAUGUAUCUUGGGAUUCACCUCAGCCUGUAUAAAAAUUCCAUUUCAUUGUAUAAUAUUGCAAAAAGUAGGUAAUAUAAUGAUGACAAAUGUGUAUUUAUCUUACAAAUUAUAUUACAAGUUGUAAUCCUA